AAAUAAAAGUUACAAUUAAAAUGCUAGUUAACUUCUUGUAUUUUUAUACGGUUUUUGUAAUAAUAAAUAAAUAAAAUUAAAUCAAUUCAUGAGAAUGAAAUACAACUCAUACAUGUGACUUCCAACCAUUUAAUUCAAACUGGGCAGAAAGAGUUGAUUGUAGACAGAGCUUGGUCACAUUCUAAGUUCUAUCUAAAUUUACAUCUUUCUAACGCCAACUGAGCACUAUCAGAAAUUCUCUUAACCAUAAAUAUAGGACGUACUUGGGAGGGGAAUUAGUGUCAUGUGAACUGACUCAGAAUCUCAACUUAAAAUGAAAAACAACGACUUUCUUCUUACAAUAUGCAAGAAAGCAGAGUCCUUGAUUCCCUAUAACUUGCAAGACCGAGAUUCAAAGACACUUUCAUCCCAUACACUUAAA